UGACGCAGCAUGCCGCGUGAUGAGAAGGCCUUCGGGUUGUAAAGUUCUUUCGGUAUUGAGGAAGGUUGGUGUGUUAAUAGCAUGCCAAAUUGACGUUAAAUACAGAAGAAGCACCGGCUAACUCCGUGCCAGCAGCCGCGGUAAUACGGGGGGUGCGAGCGUUAAUCGGAAUAACUGGGCGUAAAGGGCACGUAGGCGGACCUUUAAGUGAGGUGUGAAAUCCCCGGGCUUAACCUGGGAAUUGCAUUUCAUACUGGGGGUCUGGAGUACUUUAGGGAGGGGUAGAAUUCCACGUGUAGCGGUGAAAUGCGUAGAGAUGUGGAGGAAUACCGAAGGCGAAGGCAGCCCCUUGGGGAUGUACUGACGCUGAUGUGCGAAAGCGUGGGGAGCAAACA
rnacentral:rRNA from 1 species